UCCUGGCAGGGAGGCCGAGUCUGGGAGUAGUAGUCCCCUGAACUUUUAAAAGAUCCCAUUCCAUCUCUGGGGUGCUGCACCCCAUAAUUCCCACCCCAUAAUUCCCUGCCCUGCCGUGCCUCAUGGAUUUCUGAUUUUUGGACAGGACAAGUUUUGCCUUUACUUGGUCUACUAAAAGCAGAAACAGAAGGAAUGUGUUCUAGCCAAAAUGUAUCUCCCUAAUAAUGAUUGGGGCUUCUCCCUCAGAGCCUUCUCAUGUAUUUGGAAAUAUGAGAACUACCGUAUGGUGUUGGCAUGGACUCCAAUUAAUGGCUAAAACCAACACUAAAUGAAAGCAUGAGAAGUAUGUGCACAUCUUCAAAUUCAAGAUAUAAACCAUGAUUGAUGAACUGACAAGUCAAAGAGGAGUGAGGGUUUAUGGAAAAAGGUGGACUACCCCUGAAAUCUCUCCCACUGAACCACCAACAUGGCUCUCCAGUGCUUGGGAGUCAUGUAUACCCCAUUAAUUUCCAUGACACAUUGCUGUCAUGCUGCACAGAGAAGGCGUUUGGAAUAUAAGGCUGCUUUUAUGGAUGGACUGCUGGAACACUUAAUAUAGCUCCAUUUUUGAAUUAUCAGAUUCUAUCCUUUUGAAGUCUGUGUUAGUGGAACUCCUAUUUAUGAGAUGUGCUGUGCUUAAAGGUUUGCUAUUGAUGAAGAGGUCCAACAGAGGCCUUUAUCGUAAGUACCGUAGCAUUCUCCCCGAGAAAUAAAUAGCCUUGCUAAAAGGUAUGUUGUAUACCAGUGUUGCAAAUUACCAACCAAGUACCUUAACUGUAUACUUCAAAAAUACUACUGUGCUCCUUGCUUAUUUCCCCUUAUCUGCAAAAUGAGCAACAUUUUUAAAGACAAAGGAAAUGUAUUUGCAGUAGAUACUGGAGAAGAACAAAAGACCUUCAUCUGUUAGGAAGUAUAAUCAAUAUAUUAGUAUUAAAACAUAAUUUGGAACACAUUAAGCAAGUGCAGAAAUCAUGUAGUUUUAGACAUCUUUGCAGCAUUUCCCUUUGGAAAAUGAUGCAGGACAGCCACUUACUUAGCUGGAAAAUUCCUUCAGUAGAGAGGGCACCUGACACAAAGGUCUCAGCAGCUAUGGAACAAUGAUUGAAAAAGUCCUGCAUUCUAUUAAUCAGAUUGUUAUUCAAGCAGCAUAUAUGCAGAAGAGAGCAAACUAUUCCACUGGCUACAUCUAUUCUAGAUAAAGGCUGCUGUGGGGUGUCUUGAGUCAUUUCCUCUUUCCCAUUACAUAUAAAGUGGUAUGACAAUCCCACCUGAUCCAGUUGCCCAUUACAUUUUCUGAUCUGUGCUACAGUGUUUCCUGCCACCCCCCCACCCCACCCCCGAUGGACAUCCCUCUCAUCAGUGGGGUGCUCUGCUCAUAUGCAACUUGAACAUGUAAACUUUGAGUUUUUGAUUUAAACAUUUAAAAAAUCAUUGAUGUUUAUUAGCCUACUUUCCACAAGGAAAGUACCCUUAUGAGAUGACUUUGCUGUCCAUGUGUGUGUGUCCCCCACUAACAACUUUGCAAUGCCUGAACCGAUUUGCACCAAAUUUGGUACAGAUGUUGUGCCACAUAGGGACACCUGAACGGUGUGGUUUGUGAUGACAUAAUGCACCCCAAUCUAAGAUGGUGGCCACACAUAAAAUAGGUGGAUUAGUUCUUACCAGAACUGCUUAUUUACCCUUGCGAAUGGGCUUUCGGUUUUCCCUGUUUUCACCACCUUUUGGAAUCACCUGUUGUACCAAGAUUGCAGCUAUUAUUACAGAAACGUUAUCUUCACAAGGGUAAAUAAAAAUCAAUGAUUUUUAAAUUAAAAACUCAAAGUUUAUAUAAGAUUUUAAAUUUUUAAGUUGAAUUUUUAAAAAUGGAGGUAAUUAAGUAUCCUGCGGGCGUCAGGAGUUGAAAUCGACUUGACGGCACACUUUACCUUUAUAUAGAUG